rnacentral:lncRNA from 1 species
CACUUUAAUUCUUCAAAACUAAUAUAGCAGCAAACAUGCAGUAUUUCAUUUAGAUCAUAAAAAGUCACCUUUCAUAGCCUUUGUUGUUUUCAUGCUUCAAGGAAUGAACACCCCCAGUUAAUAUAUCAAGAAAGUUGUUCAUGAUGCUUUGUUGUUCAUCCAUUUGAUGAAACACUCAAGCUUGGAUGGAUGUCAUUUUAAGUCUUCCAAAAAUCAAAAUAUUACUUCGGAAAAAUCAUUAAUAGAACUGACAUACCAUCUUUAUUUUCUGUUGGAGCAAAAUCUGUAUGGAGAGAAAAGGAAGCAAUAGUAAGAUAACACUUACAAAUGAACUAAAAAUAUAUGCAAACACCAGUAUGUUGGCUAAUUGCUGCUUCAGAGUGCCCUAUUACUUUUUAAAUGCAGAAAUACAUGAGUUAGUUGAUAAUUAUCUAGCAAAUUCAAUUAGCAGAAUUCUUAUUGUGCAUAGGAGCAAACAUGAUAUUUUGGAAUCCUCAAACAGAAAUUGCAGAUUUAACCAUAAAGAAUGAAGGAAAUAAUCGAUCAUAGAAUAUAAUAAAGUAAUAUAACAUAACAACAAACACAGGGGCAGCAAGUUAGACAUCUUCGACAAUAAAUAUAUCUUCCUGUCAAUCAACAUUUGAUUCUAAAACUAUUGCUUCAUCCUAUGGUAGUGGUUUUAAUUUUUUUAACAUAGAACACCAAACUCAUAGAAGAUUCAAAAAGCAAGUGAACUCAAUGUUCUCAUAGCAUCUUUGUAUAGAUUUUCAAGCUCACUUUGUAACACUAAACUCAAAUGAUUUUCCAUGAUUAGAACAAAAACCAAAACAACCUACAUAAGUAACAAAAAAGGGAAAUACAGAGUUAAACAUCAUGAAGAAACAUGCAAAAAAGACAUAAUCGCAUAUUAGAAAUUAUAUAAAACAAAAACUCACAACCCCGUUAAAUUCUUCAACUAUUUUGAACUAAAGCUAAAAAAAAUUAAAAACAAAAAUUAACAAAUGAUGAAUCGAGCAAAUUGAUUGGUUCAAAACUAUAGUACCUUGAAAACCCAAUUGCUAUAUUUUGAUUCUUCACCAAAUAGUAGCAUUUCUUGCCAAAGAAAAACCCAGAUUUAGAAUCCAAUUUGAUAGAAACAUUGAGUAAGAAAAAUUAUGACCUAAUAGAAGAGGAAUUCAAAAUUCAAUUGAGUUAAAAACAAAAUGUUUCAAAAAUAUAAGGUGCAUCAUAAUGGAUUAAGUUGGUCCUAUUUAUAAGGUUUAUAAAUAGGAAUAGCUCUACUGUCUCGUUACAUUGUUUUAUUUUCUAAUUUUUAUCAAUGAGUAGACACAAAAAAAAAAAACACACUCUAUUGAAAAUAAUGAAAACAUAUUUACCAAUGAAGAGUUUGAAUGCAUCAGGUGUUGCUCUCUUCUCUGUAGCUUGAAAAAUUUGACUUCUCCUUGCUAAAUAUGUUCCUGGAUCGACUACAAUAGGCUUGAAUCUGUCACUCCUGCAUGUGCAAUUGAAUAAAAAUAUAUGAAGACAAUUUUCAAAUUCUUCAUCUAAAAUUUCAACAGCAAGCAAAAUCAAAUGAAGGCAAGCCACCAAAUUUAUUCAUCUAUGUAUCUAUAGCAAGCAAAGUAUAACGAAUCAUUAAUCGUUACCUUAACUUUGUUUGAUACGGGAUUCUUUUUUCGCUCUCAAUCUUUAUCGCAGCGAUUCCGGGUGAAGUUGCUGAAUUAAAAAUUGAACGGUGGAGAAGCUUCUAACAGCGACACUGGCGCGAUGAAGAGCGAAUCCGACACGGUGAUUAACAACGGUGAUGCAACUCCGGCGCGGUUAAGAGCAUAUUCCAACGCGGUGAUCAACGAUGAUGCAUUUACUUUAGAGGGUCGAAAUGAAGGCAGAAGAAGAAAAAGGGAUUUUGUGUGUUUUUGAAGAAGAUGAGGAAUCGUAGAGAGAUGGAGAGAAAGGAGGGUUAAGUCAGAGCCAUUGUUUCCAAUGAGAUGGAUAUGCAACACUGUAUUGGAAACCGAUAACAUUAAUUAUUUGUCAUUUACAAUGCACUGUAAACUUGAAUUUGAAUUGUGAUUUGUGCUAGCCAUCAGCAAGAUCAGAUCUAUGGCUGAUAAAUAAGUGGCAACCAAAGGUGUAGAUCCAAGGGCUAGGAUUGUUUGGCGCCUAAAAAAGAAGAAUUAGGAUUUGAAGUGUUAAUUGGAGUGUUAAUUAGGAUUAGGAAUAAGUUAGAUAGACAAUAACAACAUAGUUUGAAAAACUAUAACUGCAGAAGAACUACCUAAUCCUAGCCAUACGAUUUGAAUAUCGAAUAUAGUCGUUUGAACACUUGACCUUAUCCAAAAAAAUAACCGCUUUCGAGAUCCCUUCGCCCAUCGACCAGAGGCGCGCGUCUUCGAUUCUCUUCCAAGGAGCGCAACUUCAAUAGAAAUGCAAGGUCAAGUCUUUCCCAUAAAGUCAACUAUUUUGACCACAUUAAAUGAUACCCUUUUAUAAAUAUUGACUAACAGCCUUAUUAUUAUUAUUAUUAUUAUUAUUAUUAUUGAUUUGAUAGAAUAUUCGAAAGUUGCAUGUCAGUUUCAAAGCAGAGAAUGGAAUCUAUAAGUAGUUCCUUGUUCGCCCAGCAAUAAUAUCACAUUUUCAUGCCCUCCUUCAUUCGCAACCAAGUUCUCAUCACUCAUUUAUGUAAGUUUUCCAAGUAUUUUUUCCGUUCUAGAGUUCCUUGUUACUUAAUCUCUAUAUUAAGUUUCCAAGUAUUUUUUUUCUUUCUAAAGUGCCUUUGCUACUUAAUCUCUACAAUCACAUGCAAAUUUGUUCUUCACUGAAAUAUAUAAUAUAUUAUAUUUCUACAUAUGUUGCAGAUCAGGUUCAUCACUUCUAAUGGCUGCUCCAGUUCUUGUUAAUGAUUCUGAUGUUGUUAGAAAGGAGUGUAGCAUAAUUCACAACCAAGAUAUAAAGAACAUAUCCACAAGUCACAUUUAUAAGCAAACAUUGCUUUCUCGAUUCAACUUCAUGAAAGGUUACAAAAUUAUAACAGUUGAGAAAAAUCAUUAUUUAAGUGAUUCCAGAGAUGUAUAUUUGCUAACUAGGGAUGAAAUUAGAAGUUAUCAUCGCAAAUAUAAAUUUUUACAUAUUGGGUUGGUACAAUCACUACUACAAAAUAUAGAUUUAACAUCAAGGGGGUUUUAGUUUUCACAUCAGCACGGAAAAUAACUGAAGGGAAAGAUACACACUAUGAGUUUUUACAUCAGUUGACAUAAGCACAUGAGGGUAAUUCCUUGUAGCAUAUAACAUUUACAUCAGUGGAUUAUUGAAAUGAGGGGAAAGACACGCGGUGGCAUUUUUGCAAUUUGAGUGAAAACUUUGGCUAACUUAUUACUACAUCAGUGGGUGACAAGUGCCUGAGGUAAAAACAAAUGUUCACCCNUUUAUUUAAAUAAUUUUCCUUUUAUUGAAUAUUUGACCUUUACCGUAAAUGAUACCCUUUAACUGUUUGUUGAAAUGUUUCUUCCACCUGUUUAUAUAGAUUGGGGUUAAAAUUAGGACUUACGGGUUAACUUUAAUUUAUAAGAAGAUUAGGUGUGAGCAUUAGGGUUGUUCAUGAAAAUAGAAGAUUAGGUGUGAGCAUUAGGGUUAAAACAAUAAAAUUAUGCAAUAGGGUUUAGGUUAAAAUUAUGGCUUACAUGUUUACUUUAAUAUAUAAGAAGAUGUAAAAUGUUUUAUUUAAAUAAUUUUCCUUUUAUCAAAUAUUUGGCAUUUACCGUAAAGGAUACCCUUUAACUUUUUGUUGAAAUGUUUCUUCCACCUGUUUAUAUAGAUUAAGGUUAAAAUUAGGGCUUACGGGUUAACUUUAAUUUAUAAGAAGAUUAGUUGUGAGCAUUAGGGUUGUUCAUGAAAAUAGGAGAUUAGGUGUGAGCAUUAGGGUUAAAACAGUAAAAUCAUGCAAUAGGGUUUAGGUUAAAAUUAGGGCUUACAUGUUAACUUUAAUAUAUAAGAAGAUGUAAAAUGUUUUAUUUAAAUAAUUUUACUUUUAUCAAAUAUUUGGCCUUUACCGUAAAGGAUACCCUUUAACUGUUUGUUGAAAUGUUUCUUCCACCUGUUUAUAUAGAUUAGGGUUAAAAUUAGGGCUUACGGGUUAACUUUAAUAUAUAAGAAGAUUAGGUGCGAGCAUUAGGGUUGUUCAUGAAAAUAGGAGAUUAGGUGUGACCAUUAGGGUUAAAACAGUAAAAUUAUGCAAUAGGGUUUAGGUUAAAAUUAGGGCUUACAUGUUAACUUUAAUAUAUAAGAAGAUAAAGAAUUACAAUUAAUAAUGAUGUUUUAGUAAAUGAUACUAAUUUCAUCAUCAAAAUCAACACAAUUAAUCAUUUCCUUAAUAAUUGUGCAAAAACCUUAAACGAUUAUUAUUUAGAGACGGAGGAGUAUCAUCAACUUGUCUCUCCAUCCAUUUUGAUGCUGCGCUCAACUCAUCCUUUCUUUUUCCAACCUUUAUGACCGUAAAGUUAACAAUAAAAAAUAGGCUAAAGUGCACUUUUCCCCCCUUAAGUUUUAAAAAGUUACAAUUUUGGCCCUUUAUUAAACAAAAUUGCAAAUUUAGUCCCUUAUGUUUUAGCCCCUUUGCAAUAGUGGUCUUUUUGUCCAAUUUUGACUUGGUCAACGCUUAAAUGGGUGACACGUGUGUAAUUAUUAAAUUAAAAAAUUAAAAAACCAUAUAAUCAUUUUUAAAUUAAAUAAAUUAAAAAAGAAAUUGAGAAAUUAAAAAAAAAUCAGAAAAAAAAAAAUUAGAAAAGGAAAAAAAAAACGUUAUUCAUCUUCUUCUUUCCAUGAUUCUUUCGAACCUUCUUUCUCUCUAGAGUGCAUAUUCAUCAAUCUCCUUCUUCUUCAUCUUAUUAACCCAGUUACUUCAUCAAACCCAACAAUCAUCUCCCUCAUUUUUAUUUUUUAACAAAACAUAAACUUCCCAAAAUUCUGAAAAUAAUUCAGAUCUUAAUCACAAAACAUUCAAAUCACCAAGAAAAUCAAGUUCUAGUAACAAUACAACCAAAAGUAAUAAUAUAAUUAAACUAAUCAACGUUUUGCAUAAUGUCUUCAGGAGCAAACUUGGUACCCUCCUUAUCAGCGGCAGCACAACAAGCUUUUCCUAUCCUUAUCCAAAUAAAUCUUAGUAAUCACAAUCUUAGUAAUCUUAGUAAAGAAGAAGAAAAAAAGUUGUCGAUGUUGUUGUACCGCAAUUGGGGUUGGAAUUGACUAGAACUUUUAUCCGGGCGGACUUUUACCCGUGCUACCGCCCGGGUCAUAAACAAUGGAAAAGCUAACAUAUUACAAUAUGAUCUAUUAUAUAGAUAAGAAAACAAUUCAACAUAAUCAAUAUUUUAGGACAUACAACAAUUAUUCACACAUUUUGAAAUAUCUCUUUAUACACUACAUUUAAAGUGGUGUUGAAAUAAUCUCCAUUGUCAUCCGUUCAAUCGCAAAUGUCUAUUAUAGUUGAAGCGCUAUUGUUUUUUAACGAUUAAUCUUUCUUGUUACAAUUUUUUGUUCUAUUUAUAAGAGGUAAACAAUUACUUUUUUUGUCAAUUUAUGAAUCUUGUUAGUAAUAAAUUUAAAACUCAAAUUGGUAUAAUCCAAAAGAUCACAUAAAUUGUGUAUAUAGUAAAGUCAAGACAUCAAAAUUAAACCAAGACCACAUGCAUAUAAAACUCAAAUAUAUGUAGAAUCUGAUUUCACUCAAAGAACGGGAAUUGUCAUAUAUUAAAUGGAUGGCUUGCAAAAGAGUUCCAUAACCACUAAGGUACACCUACGCCUAUUUUUUUUAUUUAAAAAACCCACUUAGUUCCUCUGUACAUGGAAAUAAAUUAAGGAUCUUAACAAUCAUGCUCAGAUAUCUUUCAAAAUUCAUCCAUUCAUGAUUACAUUAGAAUAACAUAGGCUUUCAUAUCAUUAGAUACAACAAACAUUUUAGUUGCCGCCACUCAGUGUUUGAACAAUGGUGUUGUGCCAUGGGUCUGAAAGGUGCUGCAAGAGGUUAUCAAAUCGUCCUUUUCCUGUGACACUGUGCUGACUGAUAAAUCCCAAGAAUGCCAACAUUGCAAAUAUAACGUUAGAAAUUUCCUUCUCUUUAGCCUCCAAAGUUGGUGCAAAGGGUUAAAUAUUCCAUUGGGGUAACCAACCUCACCCUUUGGCAAGCUGUAUUGCUUGAAGAUAGGAUCUUGGUUGCCUAUUCCAAGUGUUAAGUCUUGCAAUUUUCAAGCAUAAUUAAAACAAUCACUAUGCUACAUAUACCAAGACUAUUUCAAAAUAUUUAUCUUAUUGGGUUCAGUCUUUUCUAUCAAGCAUUUUGCUAAUAUGAUCAUGCAGAGUAAUAUAGCCUUUGCAUAUACUAAAUUUGAUCAUUAGAAUUCAUGAGAUGGAAAAGAUAAGCAUUACGGUAGCAGUGCACACCUCCUUCACUUAAGUGACAUUGAUACUAGCAUUAGGCUUAAUAUGACCACAUAUAGAUUUCAUUUAUAAACUUUGACAGCAAAGCAUGGUCGACGUAUAUAAUGAAAAUGGUUUUAGCUACACAAAGUGACAUACAUGUGCAUAAUUAUAUUUUUUUAGAGUAUUCCUUCUUUGUACUAUAUAAUACUAUAUCAACACUUUGGUUGAUUUGACUUAGUCAAAAUUAAUAUAGCAGCACUUUAAUUCUUCAAAAUUAAUAUAGCAGCAAACAUGCAGUAUUUCAUAUAGAUCAUAAAAAGUCACCUUUCAUAGCCUUUGUUGUUUUCCUGCUUCAAGGAAUGAACACCAUCAGUUAAUAUAUCAAGAAAGUUGUUCAUGAUGCUUUGUUGUUCAUCCAUUUGAUGAAUCACUCAAGCUUGGAUGGAUGUCAUUUUAAGUCUUCCAAAAAUCAAAAUAUUACUUCGGAAAAAUCAUUAAUAGAACUGACAUAACAUCUUUAUUUUCUGUUGGAGCAAAAUCUGUUUGGAGAGAAAAGGAAGCAAUAGUAAGAUAACACUUACAAAUGAACUAAAAAUAUAUGCAAACACCAGUAUGUUGGCUAAUUGCUGCUUCAGAAUGCCCUAUUACUUUUUAAAUGCAGAACUACAUGAGCUAGUUGAUAAUUAUCUAGCAAAUUCAAUUAGCAGAAUUCUUAUUGUGCAUAGGAGCAAACAUGAUAUUUUGGAAUCCUCAAACAAAAAUUGCAGAUUUAACCAUAAAGAAUGAAGGAAAUAAUCGAUCAUAGAAUCUAAUAAAGUAAUAUAACAUAACAACAAACACAGGGGCAGCAAGUUAGACAUCUUCGACAAUAAAUAUAUCUUCCUGUCAAUCAACAUUUGAUUCUAAAACUAUUGCUUCAUCCUAUGGUAGUGGUUUUAAUUUUUUUUAACAUAGAACACCAAACUCUAAGAAGAUUCAAAAAGCAAGUGAACUCAAUGUUCUCAUAGCAUCUUUGUAUAGAUUUUCAAGCUCACUUUGUAACACUAAACUCAAAUGAUUUUCCAUGAUUAGAACAAAAACCAAAACAACCUACAUAAGUAACAAAAAAGGGAAAUACAGAGUUAAACAUCAUGAAAAAACAUGCAAAAAAGACAUAAUCGCAUAUUAGAAAUUAUAUAAAACAAAAACUCACAACCCCGUUAAGUUCUUCAACUAUUUUGAACUAAAGCUAAAAAAAAUUAAAAACAAAAAUUAACAAAUGAUGAAUCGAGCAAAUUGAUUGGUUCAAAACUACAGUACCUUGAAAACUCAAUUUCAACAGCAAGCAAAAUCAAAUGAAGGCAAGCCACCAAAUUUAUUCAUCUAUGUAUCUAUAGCAAGCAAAGUAUAACGAAUCAUUAAUCAUUACCUUAACUUUGUUUGAUGCGGGAUUCUUUUUUAGCUCUCAAUCUUUAUCGCAGCGAUUACGGGUGAAGUUGCGGAAUUAAAAAUUGAACGGUGGAGAAGCUUCUAACAGCGACACUGGUGCGAUAAAGAGCGAAUCCGACGCGGUGAUUAACAACGGUGGUUCAACUCCGGCGCGGUUAAGAGCAUAUUCCGACGCAGUGGUGGUCAACGAUGAUGCAUUUACUUUAGAGGGUCGAAAUGAAGGCAGAAGAAGAAGAAGAAGGGAUUUUGUGUGUUUUUGAAGAAGACGAGGAAUCGUAGAGAGAUGGAGAGAAAGGAGGGUUAGGUCAGAGCCAUUGUUUCCCAAUGAAAUGGAUAUGCAACACUGUAUUCAAAACCGAUAACAUUAACUAUUUGUCAAUUUACAAUGCACCGUAAACUUGAAUUUGAAUUGUGAUUUG